rnacentral:tRNA from 1 species
UCCUUUCUAGCUUAUUUAAAGCGUUAGUUUGAAGAACUAGAGUUACAGUGAUGUGGUAGGAG